CCCAGGUCAGGCGGGAUCACCCGCU
rnacentral:rRNA from 8 species